GCAGCACACGUCCGCCGCCGGCCUCACGCGCAUCCUGCAGCUCCGCUCAAUGCGGGCUGCGAGUCCCUUUUGGCCGGGAAAAGGGCAUCCUCCAGCCAAUCAAUGCAAAACCGAGCACCUCCGUAUGGGGUGAUUCUCCUCAAGCGUGGCACCGGAGAGGAGACAGGCUUUCCCCGGGUGACGGCAGCCAUGCUCGGCUGGAGGAUGGCGGCAGCCCGGUGGCGAAAGGCAAGUCCGGACAUGGUGCCCAAGCGUCCCGAUGUGACGCCGCUCGGAGGCUCGGAUGUGUGUCCUACAUUUACAGCGCACUUGGUCAUGGUGCGCUCGGCCGAUCCUUGCAGCACGAAGCCCUCGUCACAAAGCAGGCGUACCGUGGCCCCCUGUAG